UGAUGAUGUGAUUCAACAGGAAGUGAGUUUUGAUAUUAUCUUUUCCAUUUACCAUCAAAUAUGUUCACUUUUUUAUGACUGGCAAUAAUGGUUGAUUCAGGAGACAGCCAGUCAGCUAUGAUUAUUUAGAAAAUUAUACAUCAACUAUUUAUUUUUUCACAUGCAUAGCAUGUGUAUCUUGUGUGAUUUAUUAACCCACAAAUAUAUUUUUCUUUAAAAAUUGUAUACUAAGACAAUAAAUCAAUGUGUAAACUAUAAUUUUUUUUUUUAAAUACUGGUUGUAAAUGUGAAAUAUAUAGUAUGAAUACAGAUAGUAAAAGUAAUUUAAAAGAAUAAGAAAAAAUAUAUUAUUUUAGUAAUUCUAACCUCAUCUUCAUCCAAAAUUAUAUUAGUAAUUCUAGCAUAGUACAUAAAUUUGUGCAAAGUUAUUGAUUUCUCAUUGAUGGUACAAAUAAGAUCAUACAUAGGAUUAGAAUCAUUAUAGCUAUAGGUUGUCACAUUGUAAUUUUUUUUUCUAAGUAUUACGCUUAAACCAAGUAUUUGUUGUCCUUCAAAUGUUUCAGCACCCGUUUGUAGAUUUUACUGAACAAUUUGGUUCAAGAAAUAAAAUGUAGGAUGCUUUAUAAUUUUGGUUAGAUUUAAGAAUAAGAAGAAAUUUAAAAGAAAUAAAUUUCCAGAAUUUUCUCUAUGCUUUGAUACCAUGUUAAGAUUUA
rnacentral:misc_RNA from 1 species